rnacentral:rRNA from 1 species
UACGUAGGUGGCAAGCGUUAUCCGGAUUUAUUGGGCGUAAAGGGUGCGUAGGCGGUUUUGUAAGUCUAAUGUGAAAUUUCAGGGCUCAACUCUGACCUGCAUUAGAAACUGUUAGACUAGAGUGCAGGAGAGGGCAACGGAAUUCCAAGUGUAGCGGUAAAAUGCGUAGAUAUAUGGAGGAACACCGGUGGCGAAGGCGGUUGCCUGGCCUGUUACUGACGCUGAGGCACGAAAGCGUGGGGAGCAAAUAGG